AUUGAACGCUGGCGGCAUGCCUUACACAUGCAAGUCGAACGGUAACGGGCCUUCGGGUGCCGACGAGUGGCGAACGGGUGAGUAAUACAUCGGAACGUGCCCGAUCGUGGGGGAUAACGAGGCGAAAGCUUUGCUAAUACCGCAUACGAUCUACGGAUGAAAGCAGGGGACCGCAAGGCCUUGCGCGGACGGAGCGGCCGAUGGCAGAUUAGGUAGUUGGUGGGAUAAAAGCUUACCAAGCCGACGAUCUGUAGCUGGUCUGAGAGGAUGAUCAGCCACACUGGGACUGAGACACGGCCCAGACUCUUACGGGAGGCAGCAGUGGGGAAUUUUGGACAAUGGGCGCAAGCCUGAUCCAGCCAUGCCGCGUGCAGGAUGAAGGCCUUCGGGUUGUAAACUGCUUUUGUACGGAACGAAAAGCCUUCUUUUAAUACAGGAGGGUCAUGACGGUACCGUAAGAAUAAGCACCGGCUAACUACGUG
rnacentral:rRNA from 1 species